UACGUAGGUGGCGAGCGUUGUCCGGAUUUACUGGGCGUAAAGGGCGUGCAGGCGGUUUGUUAAGUGCAGGGUGAAAGCUCCCGGCUCAACUGGGAGAGGUCCUUGCAUACUGGCGAACUCGAGGGAGGCAGAGGAAAGUGGAAUUCCCGGUGUAGUGGUGAUAUGCGUAGAUAUGAGGAGGAACACCGGUGGUGUAGACGGCUCGCUGGGACGGUACUGACGCUGAGACGCGAAAGCGUGGGGAGCAAACAGG
rnacentral:rRNA from 1 species